AAACACUGCUCUUCAGAGCCAUUUAGGGUAGAAAGAGACACCUGAAUAUAUCUAAAAGAUGACAGACAUGAAAUUAGAGAAGAACAACAUCGUUUUCAUGACCCUUGAUUGCUGAGAAAGACUGUGUUUUGUUUAAUGUCCAAUGAUAAGUGGUAUUUGCCGCUUUAAAAGGCUUUAUUCAAAAUUAUCACUUUGAGGGAUGUUUGAAAGAUCGCUCAAUGUCACUCACCGCCAACCGGGACAACCUGGGCCGAUACCAAACCAUACACCACACGUAUCCCCAGAACUCACCUCUGGCUUCCGCAUGUCUCUUCUGACACACUCAUGCCCACACACAUAAACAAACAAACAAAUAAAUAAAUAUAAGACAUUCCAGGUGGUCAAUUUUUUUAAAUCUUGUGUUUUGAGGAUUAUGCAAUCUCCUAUCCAACAUUGACUUUUUAUUGUAUAUAGGGUAGCAGAGAUGGCUCAGUAGUUAAGUCCGUGCCGCUCUCAUGGAGGACCCACAUCAGGUGGCUCGUACUGCCUGGGGCUCCAGCCCCAGAGUAUCCCUUCCUUCUGGGUACCUAUUCUCACACACAGAGACAUAUAAACACGUGUGUACUACAUCAUUUUAAAAAUAUUUUUGUUUUCUCUAUUUUUAAGAACUUUAUCUUAUGUGCAUUGGUGUUUUGUCUACAUGUAUGUUUGAGUAAGGGUGUUGGGUCUCCUGAAACCGAGCUCACUAACAGCUGUGAGCUGCCAUGUGGGUGCUGGGAAUUGAACCAGAUCCUCUGGGAAAGCAGCCAGUGAGUGUUCUUAACUGCUGAGCCAUCUCUCCAGCCCCAACCUAUAUAUAAUUUAAAACUAUAUCAUUUUAAAGUUUUUGUUAUGCACUAAUAAUGGAUAUGAUAUUCAUUGGCCUAAGGAGCUAUUGGUGGAGUCGCAUAUGUUAUUCACAGUAAUAAAAGCUCUUCACAUUUAUUGGGUCCUUCCUAUGUGCCACGAUGUUCAACUAACUUAUUUAGCACAUUUUAGAACUCAUUAUCUCUUAACAGGCUUUGAAACACUGGAAUGGCAGCACAUAACCUUUAAUCCCAGCAGUUGGGAGGCAGAGGCAGGCAGAUGUCUGUGAGCUCAAGGGCAGCCUGGUCUACAUAUUAAGUUCUAGGCUGUCCAGGGCUACAGAGAGAAAUGCUACCUCAAAAACCAACAAAAUAGGCAAGAAAGAGGUGAUAAAUAAGCAUUGUUUAAAACUUGGGUCUGGAGAGAUGACUCAGUGGCUCAGAGCCCUGGUUGCUCUUCCAGAGGACCUGAGAUUGAUUCCCAGCAUCCACAUGGUAGCUCACAACCAUCUGUAACCACAGCUCCAAGAGAGCAGACAUCCUCUUGUGGACUUGGAGAGUCCCUGAUCCAUACACACAUACAUAAUUAAAAAUACUU
rnacentral:lncRNA from 1 species